GCCUGGCUGGCUCAGUCGUAGAGUACAGGACUCUUGAUCUUGGAGUUGUAAGUUCGAGACCCAUGUUGGGCG
rnacentral:tRNA from 1 species